GGAAGUCAAGCUUCCAAUGGCACUAGGAAUUGCUCCUUGAAAAUUGCAGUAUGUCAAGUCGAUACUGUUGAGGGAGGUAAAAUUUCCAAUGGCACUUGGAAUUCUCUCUUGCAAGUUAUAAGAGAAAAGGCAGAGAAGCUCUAGAUGGAUAAAAUCAUGUAACCAGAAGGCCAUGGAAGAAUUGAACUUAUUUUGAGAUAAAUCAAGUUCUCUAAGGAAAGUUAUAUUUUGAAGAUGAACAGGGACGGUCCAAAAAAAUAAUUCAUUGAAAGAUCAAGAGAAGUCAAAGUUGGAAUGUGAAAAAUCCAACUGGACACAGAAGAUUCAUCAAAUAUAUUUU
rnacentral:misc_RNA from 1 species